UAUAAAUUAUGUUACAUGUAGGACAUCCACCUAAUAAACUAUUAAUUUAAAUAGUAAUGUUUGAAAAGUAUUUUAUUGACAUUAUUUUAAAUAAAUUCAUAAUUCUAAAAAUAGCAAUAACUUUUUGAGAACAUCAGAUUUAUGUACACACAUAGGACACAUACCUUUUUGUUUACUUAAAGGAAAAUGAACGAGUCUAAAGCUUCCACAUGUUAUAUGAGCAAAACAUGGAUUUUUCUAAAUUAGAUUCGUUUAAAUCGGAACAUAUUAAUGUGAGUUUCUUAAAUUAGAUUUUUAAUAUGUAUAUAUACGUAAGAAUACUUCUUAUGUUUUAAAAAAAAAUAGAAUACUUCAUCUCUUUCCUAAAUUUUUAAGCCAAUAUCAAUCCAUUUCUAUAAUUCAAGAUGAAGAAAUCCCUUAAACUCUCGUUUACGUUCUUAAUUAUCUCCAUCAUUCUCUCACAAGGAAUGAUGGCAGAAGCGCAGAAAAAGAAUUGUCCUCAUAAAAUUCCAAUAAAAGGAAGCUAUUGUGCUCCAACUAUAUGUUUGGAUAAGUGUAAGAAGCAAGAUGGAACUGUUGGUAGU